UGUACUGAGACACGGACCAGACUUCUACGGAAGGCAGCAGUAAGGAAUAUUGGACAAUGGAGGCAACUCUGAUCCAGCCAUGCCGCGUGAAGGAAGAAGGCCCUAUGGGUCGUAAACUUCUUUUAUGCAGGAAGAAAUCUUUCCACGUGUGGAAAGUUGACGGUACUGUAAGAAUAAGGAUCGGCUAACUCCGUGCCAGCAGCCGCGGUAAUACGGAGGAUCCAAGCGUUAUCCGGAAUUAUUGGGUUUAAAGGGUCCG
rnacentral:rRNA from 1 species